GGCAUGAAAGACUAGUGUUAUUCAUCUUUAAUAGGGUUUAAAGGGUAAGCUUAGACGGUAGUUUACCAAGCCAAAAAAGGUACGGAAUUUACUAGGAGUUUUCAUGUAGAGAAGGUGAGUUAAUUUUAGGUGUAGAGAUGAAAUUUUUUAAUACCUUAAGGGUACUGAUAACAGCGAAAGCAACCUUCAUAUGUAAUAACUGACUGUUGAGGGACGAAGGCUUGGGUAGCAAACAGG
rnacentral:rRNA from 1 species